CUUUGUGUUCAUGUGCAUUCAAUGUUUAGCUGUCACUUAUAGGUGAGAACAUGGAGUAUUUGGUUUUCUCUUUCUGUUUAGCUCAUUUAGGAUAGUGGCCUCCAGCUCCAUCCACGUUCUGACAAAGAAAACCAUGUUAGGAGUUUGAUUAAGAUGGCUGAGAAAGACAGCAAAUCUACAGGGUUUGUCAAAGAUCAGAUCGUUGUCAUGGCAUGACAAGGAUGACCUUUCCAGCCUACAAUACCUGCUUGACCACUAAGACCAAACAGCUCAAAUUAAAGUGAUUCAAGGACAGACUCAUAAUCUAAGGCAAAGCAAUAAGUUAUCAGGAGACUCAAUACCUGCGUAUCUCUCAACCAUUGGAAAAAGUGAAUAUUCUUUGAAUCUGGAUGUGAAUGAGAAAAUAUACAACCCCAGGAGCUGCUAGAACCCAUCUUGAGUUUA
rnacentral:lncRNA from 1 species